rnacentral:hammerhead_ribozyme from 1 species
ACGAGUUCCAAAUAGGACGAAAUGUGCAUCCUGGAU